AAUAGAUACCCCGGUAGUCCACGCCGUAAACGAUGUCGACUUGGAGGUUGUUCCCUUGAGGAGUGGCUUCCGGAGCUAACGCGUUAAGUCGACCGCCUGGGGAGUACGGCCGCAAGGUUAAAACUCAAAUGAAUUGACGGGGGCCCGCACAAGCGGUGGAGCAUGUGGUUUAAUUCGAUGCAACGCGAAGAACCUUACCUACUCUUGACAUCCAGAGAACUUAGCAGAGAUGCUUUGGUGCCUUCGGGAACUCUGAGACAGGUGCUGCAUGGCUGUCGUCAGCUCGUGUUGUGAAAUGUUGGGUUAAGUCCCGCAACGAGCGCAACCCUUAUCCUUUGUUGCCAGCGGUUAGGCCGGGAACUCAAAGGAGACUGCCAGUGAUAAACUGGAGGAAGGUGGGGAUGACGUCAAGUCAUCAUGGCCCUUACGAGUAGGGCUACACACGUGCUACAAUGGCGCAUACAAAGAGAAGCGACCUCGCGAGAGCAAGCGGACCUCAUAAAGUGCGUCGUAGUCCGGAUUGGGGU
rnacentral:rRNA from 1 species